GUAUUUUGCCCAGGCGGAGCUCGACCGCCCGUUCAAGCGAUGAUCGCUUUCAUCGAUGAUUACCGAAGGAUCUAUGGGGUCGAGCCGAUCUGCAGGGUGUUGCCGAUCGCCCC
rnacentral:ncRNA from 1 species